GCAAUGCUUCACAGUUUUAUUUUGGGCUGCUGAGGAGGCACUAGGAGCUGACCACCACAAGGACCUGCGAUACCUCAGCACCCUGUGGGACACUGUGAACAGAACCUGAAAGUGCAGGGUGAGGUCAUGACUGGUAUUUUCUGCCAAGAAGCCUAGAAACUUGCUAAUCGAUGUUCUGGCCACAUGACAAGAAAAGCUCUGGGUGUCAGAAGGCCAUGUUCUGAUUGCAGACCAACACACCACACACUGGAGCAACAGGAUCCUCUUGAGGAUGAUUCAGCAUCAUUGAAGCACCACAGCCUGGAAGUGCUAACUCUCAUUUGGCUGCACAGAGAGCUUAGAC